CCCAGUGGAGUUGUGCACAGCUGUUUGCAAUUGCAAUUAUUGGGGUUUAAAAGCCCAGAGGCAGAGACAGGGCUGGUUCAGGACUGUUCUUCUUACCUGUGUGGCCGCCAUAACGGUUUACUUACCUGUUGCUUCCGCCAAUUGUUUGUUUUUCUCUGUCACAUUUUGUUGCCUUAUCCUGCACAACGGCAUAGGCGCCUCGCUCUACAUGCAUGUAAUCUAGCAGACAAGGAAGAAUGAAAAGAGAAUUGCAUGUGGAUGAAGGGAGCAGAAAUGGGAUGACAGCAAGAAGAAUGCACAGAGUGGUUUCGCAGACAUCUCACGAGAGUUGAGGCAUGACUCAGACCCACACAGACUCGUGGCUGGUGGCUGUGACUCAGAGAGGAAGGAAGGAAGGAAGGAAAGAAGGGAAGAAGGGAAGAAAAGUGUGCCUGUGAUGGGAUGUCUUACCCUCCUUCUUUACCCCCUUUUCUCGGCCUGGCUAUUGCAGAGAGGAGCAGCUGGCCAUGAAUACUGCUCUUUCCCUCCGAUUUGUCAGGCAUCACAGACACACUCCUACACAGGCCGGAGAGGGAUUGGGGCUGUUUGGAAGUGAACGACGGAUGGACAGAUGUGUAGAGGUGAAGAUGGCGGAGGUGUGGUACAGUACAUUCUAUACACAGGCCAUCACUCAAGACCUUCUCCAGCAAAAUAAAAGCAUCAAAAUUGAAUGAAGAUAUUAAUAAUUGAGCAUAUUCCGGCAAGAAAACUGUUUUUUCAGAGCAGAUGAAGCAACAAAA